rnacentral:rRNA from 1 species
GACGAACGCUGGCGGCGUGCCUAACACAUGCAAGUCGAGCGAAUGAAGUUCCUUCGGGAAUGGAUUUAGCGGCGGACGGGUGAGUAACACGUGGGCAACCUGCCUCAUAGAGGGGAAUAGCCUCCCGAAAGGGAGAUUAAUACCGCAUAAGAUCGUAGUACCGCAUGAUACAGCAAUUAAAGGAGCAAUCCGCUAUGAGAUGGGCCCGCGGCGCAUUAGCUAGUUGGUGAGGUAAUGGCUCACCAAGGCGACGAUGCGUAGCCGACCUGAGAGGGUGAUCGGCCACAUUGGGACUGAGACACGGCCCAGACUCCUACGGGAGGCAGCAGUGGGGAAUAUUGCACAAUGGGGGAAACCCUGAUGCAGCAACGCCGCGUGAGUGAUGACGGCCUUCGGGUUGUAAAGCUCUGUCUUCAGGGACGAUAAUGACGGUACCUGAGGAGGAAGCCACGGCUAACUACGUG